AACUGGUACGGACAAGGG
rnacentral:snRNA from 1 species